UUGACCUCGGAUCAGGUAGGGAUACCCGCUGAACUUAAGCAUAUCAAUAAGCGGAGGAAAAGAAACCAACAGGGAUUGCCUCAGUAACGGCGAGUGAAGCGGCAAAAGCUCAAAUUUGAAAUCUGGCCCCUUCGGGGCCCGAGUUGUAAUUUGUAGAGGAUGCUUCGGGCGUGGCCGCGGUCUAAGUCCCCUGGAACGGGGCGUCGCAGAGGGUGAGAAUCCCGUCUUCGGCCGGCCGGCUUCGCCCAUGUGAAGCUCCUUCGACGAGUCGAGUUGUUUGGGAAUGCAGCUCUAAAUGGGUGGUAAAUUUCAUCUAAAGCUAAAUACUGGUCGGAGACCGAUAGCGCACAAGUAGAGUGAUCGAAAGAUGAAAAGCACUUUGAAAAGAGAGUUAAACAGCAUGUGAAAUUGUUGAAAGGGAAGCGCUUGCGACCAGAGUCGGCCGCGGGGGUUCAGCGGGCAUUCGUUGCCCGUGCACUCCCCCGUGGCCGGGCCAGCGUCGGUUUCGACGGCCGGUCAAAGGCCCCCGGAAUGUGUCACCCUUCGGGGUGUCUUAUAGCCGGGGGUGCAAUGCGGCCAGUCGGGACCGAGGAACGCGCUUCGGCACGGACGCUGGCUUAAUGGUCGUAAGCGACC
rnacentral:rRNA from 1 species